AGUGGAAUUGCUGGGUCAUAUGGAAACUCUCUGUUAAAACAGUUUGAGGAACUAUCAGAUUGUUUUCUGAAGCAGCUGUACCAUAUUACAUUCCCACAAGCAAC
rnacentral:pre_miRNA from 1 species